rnacentral:rRNA from 1 species
GAUGAACGCUGGCGGUAUGCCUAACACAUGCAAGUCGUACGAGAGUUUUUAACUCAAGUGGCGGACGGGUGAGUAACACGUGAGAAUUUGCCUUUAGGAGGGGGACAACAACUGGAAACGGUUGCUAAUACCCCAUAUGCUUUCGAGUGAAAUGAAUUUAUUCGCCUAAAGAGAAGCUCGCGGCUGAUUAGCUUGUUGGUGGGGUAAGAGCCUACCAAGGCGACGAUCAGUAUCUGGUUUGAGAGGACGAUCAGACACACUGGAACUGAGACACGGUCCAGACUCCUACGGGAGGCAGCAGUGGGGAAUUUUCCGCAAUGGGCGAAAGCCUGACGGAGCAAUACCGCGUGAAGGAAGACGGCCUAUGGGUUGUAAACUUCUUUUUUCAGGGA